rnacentral:rRNA from 1 species
UCGCCCAUUAAAGCGGUACGUGAGCUGGGUUCAGAACGUCGUGAGACAGUUCGGACUCUAUCCAUCGUGGGCGCAGGAGACUUGAGGGAAGCUGCCCAUAGUACGAGAGGACCUGGGUGGACGCACCUCUGAUGUACGAGCUGUCCUGCCAAGGGCACCGCUCGGUAGUCAAGUGCGGCAGGGAUAACCGCUGAAAGCAUCUAAGCGGGAAGCCCCUCCCAAGAUUAGGUCUCCCGUGUGAGCGCCGCAAGGCGUUUCACCCUGAAGGCCCCUGGUAGACUACCAGGUUGAUAGGCUACAGGUGUAAGCGCAGUAAUGCGUUCAGCCGAGUAGUCCUAAUCGGCCGUGCGGCUUGAGUUC